rnacentral:rRNA from 1 species
GACGAACGCUGGCGGCGUGCCUAAUACAUGCAAGUCGAGCGAGACUCUUCGGAGUCUAGCGGCGGACGGGUGAGUAACACGUGGGCAACCUGCCUGUAAGACUGGGAUAACACCGGGAAACCGGUGCUAAUACCGGAUAAUCCUUUUCCUCACAUGAGGAAAAGCUGAAAGUCGGUUUCGGCUGACACUUACAGAUGGGCCCGCGGCGCAUUAGCUAGUUGGUGAGGUAACGGCUCACCAAGGCGACGAUGCGUAGCCGACCUGAGAGGGUGAUCGGCCACACUGGGACGGAGACACGGCCGAGACUCCUACGGGAGGCCGCAGUAGGUAAUCUUCCACAAUGGACGAAAGUCUGAUGGAGCAUCGCCGCGUGUGCGAAGAAGGCCUUCGGGUCGUAAAGCUCUGUUGUUAGGGAAGAACAAGUACCGGAGUAACUGCCGGUACCUUGACGGUACCUAACCAGAAAGCCACGGCUAACUACGUGCCAGCCGCCGCCGUAACAC